GGCAGCAGUCUACAUUGAGCGACAGUGCGGGUAUACAACGUUCAUUCAUUUCAGUCUUGUAAGUCUGAUUAUUUCCUCAUACGUAAUUUUAUUUAAAAAUAAAGUGAAUAAUUUUUAAUUUUUGUUAGAAUGAGUACAAAACGAAAGAGCUAUUCCGUCGAGUACAAAAAGGGAAUUGUGGAAGACUCCAGGGGUGUAAAUCUUGUAGCAUUCUGUAAAGAGAAAAUGCUGGAUCUCUGUAUGGUUCGUAAAUGGCAUGCAGACUAUGAUUACCUGUGUCAACUGGUGGACCAAGGAAAUGAGAAAAAAUGCAGAGUUGGAUCAGGUCGGCAGCCGUUAUUUUCUGAGUUGGAAGAUUGCAUCUGGGAAUGGAUUGCAGGCAGGAGAGCAAUGGCUUUGGUUGUGCGCAGGGCUGAUAUU
rnacentral:lncRNA from 1 species